rnacentral:rRNA from 1 species
GGGUUGUGAGGUUAAGCGACUAAGCGUACACGGUGGAUGCCCUGGCAGUCAGAGGCGAUGAAGGGCGUGCUAAUCUGCGAUAAGCGCCGGUAAGGUGAUAUGAACCGUUAUAACCGGCGAUACCCGAAUGGGGAAACCCAGUGUGACUCGUCACACUAUCAUUAACUGAAUCCAUAGGUUAAUGAGGCGAACCGGGGGAACUGAAACAUCUAAGUACCCCGAGGAAAAGAAAUCAACCGAGAUUCCCCCAGUAGCGGCGAGCGAACGGGGAGGAGCCCAGAGCCUGAAUCAGCAUGUGUGUUAGUGGAAGCGUCUGGAAAGGCGCGCGAUACAGGGUGACAGCCCCGUACACAAAAGCGCAUGUGCUGUGAGCUCGAUGAGUAGGGCGGGACACGUGGUAUCCUGUCUGAAUAUGGGGGGACCAUCCUCCAAGGCUAAAUACUCCUGACUGACCGAUAGUGAACCAGUACCGUGAGGGAAAGGCGAAAAGAACCCCGGCGAGGGGAGUGAAAAAGAACCUGAAACCGUGUACGUACAAGCAGUGGGAGCACCCUUUGGGUGUGACUGCGUACCUUUUGUAUAAUGGGUCAGCGACUUAUAUUCUG